rnacentral:lncRNA from 1 species
GUUCUUUGAUAUAGUUCACUGCUGCUUUAGUUUCUAAUUUAUCAUAUUGUUUCAUGGCAUAGUUGAGAGUGAAUUUAAUCGAUCAGAUAGAAACUUUGUCUGGCUAAUAACUUCAUGCAGCCAGAAACUUGUAAUUAUACCUAAACUGCAUACAGUAGUAUUUUAUCAUCAGAUAGGCAGGUGAUUGAAGACCACGUUUCUUUUUAUCAUUAUUCGUAAACAUAAUUAUAUAUAAGUAUUAUACUUAAUGCAGCAAUAUCUAUGAGAUAAUCGGCAUAUAUCGAGUUUUAUUUAGGGAACAGUGUUGUUAUACUUCAUGAGAUGAAUUUUCCGAUACGUUAAAAUUAUCGUUUUAAUUGAAUUUCAUGUCUGCUACAUCAGGUUUAGGAAUUUAGCGCACAUGUUUUUAACUCCCCGGGCUUCACAAUUUAAUGUUUGUCUCGUUAGUCUUGCUUGGGAGCCAGUUAUGUAAAGUAAAUAGUUAAUAGAAACAGUCAGGUGUAAAAGAUUUGCCGGGAAGCACCUUAUUAUAGAAAAUAAUUGUUGCUCCUGGACGUUGAUCUCCCGCUGUUGAAGUCAUCAUCAGUUCACCUGCCAGUGAUGUAACUAUCGUUUUCCUGUUGUUCGUGAUUCACGUUUUAUUUAAUAUAUUGUUUUAAGUACGCUAAACGAGGAAGUGGUACACGUAACGAUUAAAUAAUAUUUGUUCGAAGUUGAUGUGGCUGAGGCAAUAACAGAUCGAUUAAUUAAUUUUUUUUUUUUACAUAGUGGAAAUGACAGGAAAUACUAAUUAACUGUACGAUAUUAGUUUAAGUACUGUAAUCGAAAACCUUGAAAUUCAUUAUGAAUUUUUCAAGGACACGUUCUGUCGCGUUUAUUGUGUUUAUCCAAUCGCAACUCUACUAAGUUGGGCCGUUUCCAAUUUGGAUUAAAACUUUACUAGGCCAAGCGCUUACACGUCACUGACUAUUGCCUCAUAAACUUGACUGAUUAAGAGCGAACAAGUACGUAUCGAGGGAUGAUAAACUUAUCAAAGUAGUAAAAGAACUGAGGUACAGUAUUGUUUUUCCCAAGUUUAGAUGGGAGCAUUUAAACACUGAGACGAAUUUUAUUUAGGUGAGUCUGUCAUCUUUAUAUUAUUAUAUAGAUCUAUAUAUUUUCUAAAGCUUGAUAGAAGUGGAUGUAGCUUCGUGUAAUUAUCAAAAAAUGCAUUUUAUUUAGCGAAUGCGGAUUCGAUUUUCUGAUCAUUUUUCUUGUAUAAUAAUGAUUUAGAAUAUGGAAUCUGGCAUUUAAAUGGUGAAUGUUCUGGCGUGACACGUUAUCUUUUACGCCCUGGAUGUUACAUUAAGAUGUAAUCUUUUAGCGAUAAGUUUUUCUUAUAAUGCCUAUUUUUCACGCAUAUAAAAAUGAGCGAUCUUGCCGUUUUUCCUUCCUUAUUUGCAAAGGAUGUCCUAGUUAUUUCUAUUGUUUUAGAUAUUAUUUCGUCUAUGAAACAUAAAAAUUGCGAUGAAGAGGAAAACUGCGAUCUUCGUUUGACUUUCCUCAGCGUUAUUUACUCUGUUGUACUGGAAGUAGACUGCAUUCAUGCUAUUUUCUCCAAUCCAUAUUAAAUGACAUUUAUCUAUAAAAUAAAUACGCAUAAGGUCACAUUUAAAAAUAUUUCGAGUAUCUGAAUAGGUAAUUCUUAAGUUGUAAUAAACUUUUAUUUAGGAGAUACUUAGUAUUUAUAUUAUAUAUUUGUAUAAUAUUUAAAGGGC